GAUGAACGCUGGCGGCGUGCCUAAUACAUGCAAGUCGAGCGAACGGACGAGAAGCUUGCUUCUCUGAUGUUAGCGGCGGACGGGUGAGUAACACGUGGAUAACCUACCUAUAAGACUGGGAUAACUUCGGGAAACCGGAGCUAAUACCGGAUAAUAUUUUGAACCGCAUGGUUCAAAAGUGAAAGACGGUCUUGCUGUCACUUAUAGAUGGAUCCGCGCUGCAUUAGCUAGUUGGUAAGGUAACGGCUUACCAAGGCAACGAUGCAUAGCCGACCUGAGAGGGUGAUCGGCCACACUGGAACUGAGACACGGUCCAGACUCCUACGGGAGGCAGCAGUAGGGAAUCUUCCGCGAUGGGCGAAAGCCGGACGGAGCAACGCCGCGUGAGUGAUGAAGGUCUUCGGAUCGUAAAACUCUGUUAUUAGGGAAGAACAUAUGUGUAAGUAACUGUGCACAUCUUGACGGUACCUAAUCAGAAAGCCACGGCUAACUACGUG
rnacentral:rRNA from 1 species